AUGCUCAUGAAAUGGUACGAACACGUUAUGACACCAAAUCAGCAAGCCACACAAACAUACCAAUGGAACUGCAGCAUGUCCAAGGCAGCGACGUCCAUCCUCUUCCGGGACCUGUUGAUGUUCUCCUCAACGAAGCUUCUUGUCAUCUUAACCGGCGGCGGCACCCACUUUGUAAGCCUGCACAAGCAGCUCAGCAACAGUCAGAGAACAGCAGCAGGAAAAUGUGCUACGGCCGCGUCUCCAUGGCACCAAAUCGCUCGCUCACCCCCUGACUUCUUCCAGCAUCUUGGGCGGGCGCUCGCGCCGGACUUUGUUGAUGAACAUGCCGUACAGAUCCUCCGCCGGUCCAUCUGCCAAGACAACAAUCAUGUCUUCAUACCAAGUUGA
rnacentral:rRNA from 1 species